GGCGUUUCGCUCUACAAUGCGAGGAUGCGAGUCCCCCUUGAGACUUGCGUCAUGGGCAAGCACCGACGAUCUGGGAAUGACAUCGCAUUUUAUUCACCCGCUUCUAUUUUCAGAGCGUUUUCGACAGAGCUAAAGCUACAGUCCAGGUGCAGCCGCUCGUCAAUUCUUUCGGCGCACGCUACGAGUUAAGUUCCAUUUUCAAUCCAAUUUGAUCUGAUUUCAUUCAGCGAGCGAAUCGUAUCUUUUGUCUAAAUACGUUUCCGCUGAAAUUUUCACUUUUGGGAAAAAAUUGACGUUAGUGAUACGAACUUUGGCAGAUGACCAAGUGUAUUAUGUGAACGCCUGGAGCGUUAGCUGCUCCUUCGUGCCUUUCAUUGUGUCUCAACUUGAACGCUAAUCGCGCGAGGGCCACGUAACGGCGGAUGUGCGCACGGCAAACGCGCGUGUGAUUUUCAUGCGCGGGAUCUAACGGGACCGAGUCAGAAAGCGAACGGCUUCCACGUUUCUCUUCGUCUUCGUCGUCAUUGCGCGAGGGAGUGGUUCAAGACACGCGCGCGUGCACGCGCGCAUACGUGUACAUAAGGAAAACAUUUCUCGACAUAUCAAGGAUCGAAAAAUUUCCCCUCGCUUCACAAAUAUUUCUUCAGCCCGUAAACGCCUUUCUCCAAGACGUUCCAUCAUCUUGAGAGUGGAAUCUGGAGUACCCUCAGUCUCGACGUUAAUGCUCGUCGAAAUCGCAUCAGUACACCACUCUCUCUCCUCAAAUUUUAUCCUUUGACACAUUGCUUCUGAUUAGAGCUAAGUAAUUUCGUGGAUAUUAAUAUGUAACGGAAGGCAAGAGGAUCGAGGACAGAAUUCUCGAGAUUUUCCAAUCCCGUGGUGACACUAACGAAACGGGCCACACCACCACAUUAGUGGUGGUGUAGGUUUCGGAGUACGAGGCCAAGGCUGAAUCGGGCAACGCAGAAGCGUUUCGUGUGCGGAAACGUGAGGGACGUUUACGUAAUGAAGUGCCAGGAGGAGUGGACGAGAGAGACACUCUCGUUGCGGGAUCAAUUUCGUGAGCACCGCGUGAAUUUUUGAUAAAGCAGACCAAAGUUGCUGCGAGUGUCCAAACAAGAUUCACCAUGACACGAUGAACAUAAGCUGCUAAUGCAAUCGUCAAUUAAGGAAUCCGUUUUACAUUAGUCCACAAAUUUCCUUUAUCAUCCAGUACCGGAGUCUCUUUUGCAAUAAUUAACAAUUAAGGAAGCGCACUGAGGCGAAGCUACAUUACAUGUAUCUAAGAAAUCAAUCAGAUUACCAUACAAUGAAAAGAAAACAAGUUCAGCCGAAGUGGAAUCAGGGUGACACUAAAACUCCGUAUUCCGAUCUAAAAAAACAAAGAACGCCAAGGUUCGAUAUCGCAUUGCGAGUCGGACACGCGUUGCGCAAUGAAUAUCUCGGGUGUCGGAGACGCAACGGCCGCUAAUUUUAAUUGCGACCGCCCGUCGUUUCCUUCGCCACGUCAUCGCGUUGCCCUCGUUCAAUUGACGGUGAAUUGGGGGAAAGUCACGUUGAAAACGAGACAUGGCGUGCAUCCGCUAUUAGGCGGCCAAAGACCCCGCCGCUGCCUUCCUCGCUCCGAAUACGUGUGCAUAUAGAUUGCAUCGAUAUGCACACGUAUUCCAGACGUAUCUGUGAAUAAAAUCGAUAUUCUCCCAUAGAACGCACAUCUGAGAAUCUCAGAAAGAUAUUUCCUGAGAUAUCUGAGAAAGAUAUGGUAUUGAAAUACUCAGUUGUUCGCACGUCAUCUAUCUUUUUUUUGGUAAAGAAUAACAUGCAAUUUUUAUUGUUCUCAGAACUGAAAUUGUAAUAUACAUUAAAAUGCAUAAUCUUUGAUCGAAAUAAAUCCAAAUCAAUCCUCAAUUACCAAAUUAAAAAUUAAUUCUGAAAGCAGAUUCUGGGUCUGAUAUUUUCGACAUUAUGCGCUUUUGAAGAGUUUAAUCUAAAUUCGAUCUUCAACUAUCAAAAUAAAAAUUAAUUCUGGGAGUAGAUUCAGGGCUUGAUAAUUCUCUCGAUUCUAUGCGUUGUGAAAAGGCAUUCACUUUGCCCGCUGCCUCGUGGUAAAACGUCAACAAUCGUGUUAACUAUUUGUCGAAUUUUUGCAAGCGCACAGGCACGCGAUGCAAUCUCAUGGAUAUAAUUCUCGGGGCAACGAAGUCGUAGGCUUAUAGAUUAUGAAAGAAAACCAGAAACUCCCCUAUAUCAAGACCCACCGUCUUUUACCAGCAUUCAUUGUUAACCGGCAUCGAUUGCAAUUGUUUUCGAAGGCUGGCCUUAAUAAUGCAUCCACCCACCCGACUCCAUAGAGGAAGUUGCGGAACUUUUCCUUAGGCCGUUCGGAAGUUGGAAAUCGCAAACGUAUGGAAUCACCUUGUGCGUCUAAAUAAUUUCUGCUGCCUUAUCGCAGAAAUGUGCGGCUGAAAGUGUGUUACGUUGGCGAACUGUGUCAGGAAAAUGAAUAACUGGAAUGGGACCGCACACGGAGCGGCCGAUAACAGCGGAGCUAAAAGCGGGACGAAACUCGCGAAACUGCGUUAUAUUAUUCAGGCUACAGGCUUUCAGGCGUAUAAAUAGAAACUGAAAUAUUAUUGCAUAAGCGUAAUUAAAUAACGUCCCGUUUUAAAAAGAGGAGAAACAAAACGGGAGAGAUACGAGAAAGAUACGAGAGACCCAUUUCUUCUUUUUCUCGACUCUAUAAUCGUCGAGACCACUGCUCUCUCGGUCUUAAUGUUACACAUUAUUUUAAGCAUCUUUCACAUCGGUUUUCAAUUCUUACGGUGCUGUUCGUUGGAGUAAAUGCCUCGACUAAAAUACCGUCUGCACACAACUGCGCAUUGCGCGAUUCGCAUAUGCGUCACGUAUGUGCCUGCCGCCUAGAAAGUCGCGUAUGCAAAUGCACGCGGACAGACGCGCGUGCUCAUAAAUACGUGCGAACGGUUCGACUUCGCGGGAACAAAAAGUCAUCGUUUUAUUAGACGAGAAGAGUUAGCCAAGGGGAAUCUGCAAGCCACGUGCAGUCUUUGUUUUACAACUUUCUAGUACGGAGGGUUCUCGCGUUCAUUGACGCGGACUCAUGUCCGGCUGUCACGAUGACCGCGCAUCGCGAUCAAUUGGAGAACGCUGAACCUUCCUCGAUGUAAUGCACGGGCAGUAAACCUACAAUCGACAUUAAAAUAUAAUUAUUGCACGUGCUUCCAGUCUCUAUGACAAUGAAUUCGUUUGCAAAAUGCAUUCAUCUUAUUGAAAAAAUAAUAGUAAGCCGUUAACUUACGUUUAACUUACUCGCGGAUUCAGUUAAACGUAAAAUUGCCGGUACAGCUCGCAAUUACAAUCAUUACUCGGCCUUCGCAAACGCUUUGUGUGAAUGGAUACGGUCCCUGGACGUUUACGACACUGCACGUGGCGCAGUCCGUCGUGGAUACACGUGGGCACGAAGGGCGCCCACACGUCGUGGAUUCUCGCGCGGCCUUCGACUCUCGACUGCCUGCUACGGGUGUAUUAACGUUUCGCGCAACUGCCUCUUUCUUUCUCCACACGCCCAGUGCUUGAGCGAUCUACGCAAUUGACGCCGCAAUUUCGCGGGUUCAGCGAUCCCGGAGAAAAUUGCGAUAAGAUGUCGGUUUAUUCUACCGCUAAUUCUCGAGACUCUCUCAGGAAAGGUAUCCCACUUUUAGUUUUGCUUUUAGCCGACUUUACUCCUAAUCGGAUAUAGGCUUCCAGAACGAAACUCGGUGAACGAGACGAUCCACUUUCAAGCUGUCGCACGGAUUAAAAGCCACUCCUCAUGCGGUGAAGCCGCUUCCCCUAUUAUAUGCCAAGAUCUUUCACCCAAAAUAGGGUGCCGAAGUAGGUCAAACACAACGACGAGGGAUGGCUGACGAAGGGUCAGCAGCUUCUGGACAGUCAUCGAUAACUGAGCAUUGUAUUCUACUGAUUAAAACUAAAACAUAAAUUGUUCUUAUUUUGUAAAAAUUGUAUACGCACACGUGUGCUGCAAUUUAGAGAGAUAAUAAAGAAAUAACUCUGCUGUGUUUUUUGUACAAUGAUUAU